UACGAAGGGGGCGAGCGUUGUUCGGAUUUACUGGGCGUAAAGGGCGCGCAGGCGGCUCAUUUUGUCAGGCGUGAAAGCCCCGGGCUUAACCUGGGAACUGCGUUUGAUACGGAUGGGCUAGAGUUCGGGAGAGGAGAGUGGAAUUCCCAGUGUAGAGGUGAAAUUCGUAGAUAUUGGGAAGAACACCGGUGGCGAAGGCGGCAUCCUGGACCAACACUGACGCUGAGUGAGCGAAAGCCAGGGGAGCAAACGGG
rnacentral:rRNA from 1 species